UUUGUGACAUAAGAGCUGGGAAGUGAGAAUUCUUGAGGGUUAAUCAAUCUGGAAUCUUCAAAUGCAAUUGUUCUUUUAGUUUAAGUGAAGAUCCAAAGAAGAAAAAAAACUAUUCCUCUGAGUUUGUUGUUCAGGAAUUUGAGCCGCUGGUUAAGGCUUGUGGGAGAAAAAAGAAACCUUUGAUUCCUUUGGCAUCCGAAGAAAGCUUUUGACUAUGGAACUUGUGGUUCAAGUUGCUUGAGAAAACUUCAAUUGUUGAAAUUGGAAUUUUUUUGCCUUCAAUUGUAACAUAAUACAGCUACAUUUUGACUGCAUCUAGUUUCUAGGAAACUCUUUGUUUCAGAUUCCAAGCCACCUUUCAACCGUAAAGUUUGGAUUAUCAAAGAGUUAUAUUCUCAAACAAAAAGGUCAUUAAUCAUGGCCAAAAGAUCAAAUGGAUGUCCUCUGCGGCAUGGAAAGGAUCAGUCAGGUUGUAUGUGGGGUUUGAUUAGUAUGCUUGACUUCCGCCAUAGUCGAUCAACUCAGAGACUGCUUUCCAUUAGAAGGCGCGGGAACAGAAAUGCCGUUUGUGUGGGAAAUGCAGGAGAUAAACUUAUGUUGACUAGCUCUGUCGAAACUUGUCCCAGACCUCUCG